ensembl:misc_RNA Metazoa_SRP Metazoan signal recognition particle RNA
GCUGGGUGUGAUGGCUCACACCUGUAAUCCAAGCACUUUGGGAGGCGAAGAUGGGUGGAUCGCCUGAGGUCAGGACUUCCAGAUCAACCUGACCAAUAUGGUGAAACCCCAUCUCUA